AAUUAUUAUUAUUAAUUUUUAAUUAGAAGUGAAAUGUUAAACGAUUUUAAAUAUAUCUAGUUUUUUUAGAAAUGAAUUAAAUCCAGAUUUUAAAUUUAAUUUUAUUUAAAAUUAAUUAAUUAAAUAAAAAAAAUUUAAAAUUAAAUAUAAUUGAUAUAAAUUGGUUAUAUUUAUUUUAUAAAUUUAAUUUAAUAAAUAAAAGUUUAUAAGUAAUUAUAAAAUUAUUUUCCUUUUUAAAAAAUGUUUUAAUUUAUAAUUAAAAAUUAAUAUAAAAUUUUAAUUAAAUUUUAAUUUUUUAUAAAAAAUUAUUUAUUAAUAUAUAAUAAAUAUUUAUAAUGAUUAUAUUAGUAAAAUUAUUUUUUUUUGUUAAAUAUUUUAAUAUGUUAAAUUAAAAAUAUUAAUUUAAGGAAUUAGGCAAAAAAUUUAAUUAUUAAUAAAUGAAUAAUUGAAAUUAUAUUUACCUGUUUAUCAAAAACAUGUCUUAUUGAAAUUAAAUAAUAAGUUUGUUCUGCCCAUUGAAAAUUAAAUUUAAAAGGCUGCAGUAUAUUAACUGUACAAAGGUAGCAAAAUCAAUAGUUUUUUAAUUGAAAACUGGAAUGAAAGAAUUGAUAAAAUAUAAACUGUCUCAAUUUAAAUUUAUUUGAAUUUAAAUAAAAAGUUAAAAUGCUUUUAUUUAUUUAUUAGACGAUAAGACCCUAAGAAUUUAAAAAUUUUAAUUUUAUUAAAUUAAUUUUAUAAUAUUAUAAAUUAAUAUUUUAAUAUUUUUUUAUUGGGAGGGUAAUUAAAUUUUAAAACUUUAAUUAAAUAAAAA
rnacentral:rRNA from 1 species